rnacentral:rRNA from 1 species
GACAGAGGCCCCAAGCGUUAGGCGGAAUCACUGGGCUUAAAGCGUGUGUAGGCGGAUGCCUAAGUACCUCGGUGAAGUCCCACGGCUCACCCGUGGAACUGCUGGGUAUACUGGGCAUCUUGGGCCGUUCAGGGGCAACUGGAACAAGCGGUGGAGCGGUGAAAUGCGUAGAUAUCGGGAAGAACACCCGUGGCGAAGGCGGUUCUCUGGGACGGUACUGACGCUGAGACGCGAAAGCGUGGGGAGCGAACAGG